rnacentral:rRNA from 1 species
AUUGAACGCUGGCGGCAGGCCUAACACAUGCAAGUCGAGCGGCAGCACGGUGCUUGCUCCUGCAUCCAGCGGCGGACGGGUGAGUAAUGCAUAGGAACAUGCCCAGCUGUGGGGGCUAACGUCAGGAAACGGGCGCUAAUACCGCAUACGUCCAGAGGGAGAAAGGGGGGGAUCUUCGGACCUCCCGCCAUUGGAUGAGCCGAUGUCGGAUUAGCUAGUUGGUGGGGUAAAGGCCUACCAAGGCGACGAUCCGUAGCUGGUCUGAGAGGAUGAUCAGCCACACUGGAACUGAGACACGGUCCAGACUCCUACGGGAGGCAGCAGUGGGGAAUAUUGGACAAUGGGCGCAAGCCUGAUCCAGCCAUGCCGCGUGAGUGAAGAAGGUCUUCGGGUUGUAAAGCUCUUUUGGUAGGAAAGAAAAGCAGUAAGUUAAUACCGUGCUGUUUUGACGGUACCCAAAGAAUAAGCACCGGCUAACUUCGUG